AUCACGCCUUUCUGUUUACAAAAUCUUAACAUGUGUUCAGCGGACAGCCGAACAAACAAGUAAUUAUGAAAGCAAUGUGCGUGAAAUAUUUCGAAGCAUCCCAAAUGUCAAGCACCUAACAAUAGGCGAAUUUACCAUGAAUGUAAGCCAUGACUCAAAUUCCAAUCCUGCUUAUUGCUUUCUAAUUGUUAUACCAUCAAUUGCUUUCUUGGUCACAACUUAUAGCUGUCUUCAUACGUUUGCAGUCUUUGGGUGAAUCUCUUGAUAGCAGGCUGCCAGUGUUUCAGAACUUGGUCCACCUGGAGAUCAGUUUUUAUGUAGCGAACGGCGCUAUACUGCUGCCAAGUUUGCUCAAAAUCUCUCCUAAACUGGAAAGCCUUAUCUUGCCUCAGGUACAUUACAUAAGAGACUUGCACAAUUUUGAGAGAAAUAUGGUGAGCGUUGAGCACUCCUGUUUUCUUUUGACCAAAAGUUGAUUUGUUUGUAAUUUUUUUUCCCUAUGUCCUGGAUUUCAGGGGAUUACCAGUCCAAAUGUAAUCGGGUGGUUUAACCCUGAGGAGAAUCAAGUUAAGCCUCCGCAAGACGUACCUGAAUGCCUGCUAUUUCGCCUGAAAAAUGUGGAAAUUUCGCGAAUUACUGGAAGAGUAGAGGAAGAAGUGGAGGUGUUGAUAUAUCUUCUGGGAAAUGCAAUGGUUCUAGAGAAGAUGACGAUUUGGUACGAAGAAUAUUAUGUUUCCGGUGGACCGAUGGAUACUACUAAUUAUCCAACUGCUCGUCGGGUGCAGGAUCGUUUAUCUUUCACUGACAAAUUGAUGAACUGCACUAGGGGAUCUGCUGCUUGUCAACUUGACAUACAAAUGCCUGAACUACAACUCUGAGCUCUGAACUUGCGACAGAAUGUUGGUAUUGUAUUGUACAUAUCUGCACUUGUUUCUUGUGCAUUAGGAAGAAAGUGAAGAAUCUGUGCGUAAAUAAAUACUUAUAGUAUUCGAAUUUUAUAGGUAUCAGAUUUAUUUUUAAGAUUAUCCUACUCUAAAUGACAUACGACUUAUACAAUAGAUACAAACUAAAUAAUCACUCACCUAACUUUAGAAAUUCCCAUAUUUAUAUCCAUCACUCAAACAUGUAUUUUUUAAUAUCAUUUUGCAAGUGAGCUCUUAUUUUUGGAUCACUUUAUCCUCUUGAUAUUUUAAUUUUUCUCUAUAUAACACUCUUAGCCUUUUUUUUUCCUGUUAGUAUUGUCUUCUAUUAAAACAAAUUAAUACAUAAAUCUCCUCCCCAACUACUUUAAAGUGAAAGUCUAAGAACUGCCGCAUGCUGUUUGAAGAACCCCCAUGUUUUUAAACUCAUAUCGGACCGGGUGGUCCAAUCGGUCAAAUAAAAAAUUGGCCGGACAUCUGGUCCGAGUCAACUUAAAUAACAGCAUUUUCAAAAGUUCAGUCAAAAUCAUUCAAAGAUCAGGUUUGACCAGGCACUAGUGAAACCGAAACCUGGUUUUUCCAUUUUCAUAUAUUUUGAUGAUUUUUUCCCCUUCCCUUCCUUUGAUCUUUGGCUAGAGGCUAAAAACUAAUCUAAAAAGAGAAAAGAGCAAAAAUGGGAAGAGAAGAAAUUGAACUGCCAGAUGCAAUACUAAUUAUCCACUCCACGGGUAGAUUUCCCUUGUCAUCCGAAAAUGUGAGACUGAUAUGGAAUUUCUGGACCUUGUAUAGAUGGGUUAACCUUUUCGUAUCAGCGGCCUAAUUGGAUUAACUUCAGUAAGUCUACAUUGUCGUUUAAAGUUUGAUAAUGAAAAUCACUAUUGCUUUUGAAAUUUCCCACAGGCCUAAGAACAAUACCAGAAAACUCAGUAUCCAUAGCUACAUAAGGAUAGUCAUCCACAAUUUCUCGGAUAUAUGCAAACACUUCUUCAAGAUUAUCAUUCCAUAGCUCCCGAAUUUGAACUGAUUCAUUUGUAGGCAAAAGUGACACCUUUCUUUUUAACUGUUUCAAACAAAAUCUACGCAAAAUUUCUUUCAAAGAACCUAAUCAUCAGAGAUCCUUGAGAUUACCAGAACCUAUACCCAAUCUAUUGGACAACCCUCCAAUUCCAACAGAUCUACAAGAAAGUCAAAACCCAGAAAAAUCAGCCCAGAAAGCAACAAUUAAUCAAAACCUACAGAGCAUUGGCUAGGGGCUAAGAACUAAUCUUAAAAAAAAAAAAAAAACAAAAAUGGGAAUGUGAUAAAAGAAAAGAGAGAGUUAUGGUGUAGUCUAGAGGAAGAAGAAGAAGACAAAAUAAUAAUAAUAAUAAUAAUAAUAAUAAUAGAGAGCAAGUGACGGUUGCUCCUCCUUAUUCCUUGGCUGUUCCUUCACGUGAGUUUCCUUCUCAGAAGCCAUGAAUCAAAAUUAACUUAUAAAAACCAAAAGGCUUUAUCGGGACUCAAGAGAACAAGGCUUCCUAGGAAGAACAAGAAAUUGAAGGAUAGAUCAUACCAAGUAAGUGACGGCCCAACAAAGGAAACAACAAGUAUUAGGUUUAACAUUUAUUUGUUUUGAAUGCCCUAAAACUUUCUAAUAAUUGUGUUUCAGACUUUUAUAGUUUUAUUAAAAUGUAAAAUUAACCUAUCACAUUUUCCAAAUUACUUUAUUACUUAUGGCUUUUAAAACUAUUUAAGUAGAGUCCUUUUAGACUAAAUCUAAACUCAUAAAACAACUAUGUAAAGUUGUAAACCCCUAAAUUAUUUAAGAGGAACUUUUAUGUAUUAUUUUAAUUAUGCAUCAUUAAUAUAUAUUUAUGACGUAUUUAUAACGUCAUCCAAUUCAACUCCCAGUUGGACUCGAUCGAAUUCAUUGACCCCUGACCCCUGAGUUUGGCUAAGUCAAUACCUGGUCUGAGUCUGAAAACAUUAGAAGAAACUAGAGAAAUCGAAAGAUUUUAUACUUAUUCAAUGGAAUGCACUCGAACAACAAGUUGCUACUUUUUAUGAUUUAUACAAGCUUGGAAACACGAAAUAAGAAAUGAAAUAUUUAAAUUUUGGAUUGCAUUAAAUUGUUUGAGCAAUUUAAGGAGAUCUAUAUAUCUUCUGGUUACCUUGAAUUUAACAUGGGAUUAGAUAUAUUAAUGGGUUGGGUCUGGAUGGAUCUGUAUUGUUAGAUCUAGAUUUUAGACCUAUUAAAUUUUUUUCAUAACCACGUCUACACAAACUUUAUGAAUUUGAAAACUAGUUUAAAAUAAUUAGGGGUGUUAAUCGGGUUCUAUGAGUUGGACAUUGACAAAUUCAAGCUUAGUUCAAAAAAUAAAUAGGGCUUUCAAGCGUUCGAGUUCAUAAUAUAGACACACAUAUGCACUAGCCGGACCAUAAUCAGGAUUGAGUCUAAUAAAAUCCAAACUUGACUCACAUUUAUUUUGGGCAUAUUAUUUAGGCCCAAACUUUACUCAACCCUAAUAAACAUAAGGCUCCUUGGACUUUUUUGGGGCUAAACUAAAAAAAAUAAGUGAUAGUUUGGAUAUGUGUAAAGCCAUCCAAAUGGUCAUCCAUACUACUCAUACCAUAUUUUGUCUCUCUUUUACUAAUGGCAGAAAUUACAUCAUCAAAAGAUAUCAAAGGACAAAUCUGAAUUUGGUUGUACUUGUGGGGUUAGCUUAGGUGUAGCUUGUGAAAAUUCUUGCUAAAAAGAAAAAAUUGACCUGUUGGUGAGGUUUAAAGACUAGAGUGAAUGAGUGUUAUUUAGAACUUAGUAGAGGUUCCCUGCUCCCUUGCCCUGAGUCCCACAUCGAAUAGUUAGAGUGUGCGUGAGUUCCACUUAAAUUCCAUGGGUGCAACCAGAAGUCAGCAAUUGCCUUUUGGUUGUACUUGUGGGGUUAGUUUAGGUGUAGUUUGUGAAAAUUCUUGCUAAAAAAAAGGACAAAUCUGAAGAAUGGAUACUCUAGAUCUACAGAAAAUAAAAACUACACUAUACAGCUCUAAAAAAUAUUUUAAAAAUAAGAUAAAAUAGUUGUAAUCCCACGAAUAUUUGUGCUUGCUUUCAAUUACCAGAUCUACUAACUAUUUCAAAUCUAGAUAUUAUAGUGAAAUUCAUCAAAUAGACCCAAGAAUUCGAUAUCUAAUAAUUAGAAUAUGAAAAAAACUCAGAUUUAAUAAAGAAAAGGGGGAAAAAACUAUGUAAAAUUCUCACUAGAAAUUUCAAGCAAAAAAUAAAACUCUCACUAGAAAAAGAGAGAAGAAAACUCUCACUAAAUAACACUACAAAAGAAGAAACUCUCACUAAAAAAUCCUAGAAGAGAUUUUAUUUAGACAAACAAAAAGAAACAAUAUAGAGGAUUCCUCUUAUGGGGAAAGAUCAGAAAAAUCUGAUCUCUCUCCCAUGGGAGAGUUGGAGGAAGUUUUAAAACCUUCCACUCCUAUUUCCAAGCCAAUCUUCGGCCUCUCUUUAAAUUUGCUAUACCAUAUUUUCUCUCAAUGGCAUUUUUAGUACAAAGGAAUGAUAAAAUUCAAGUGAUAUAUAUUUUCCAUUUUCCCUUCCAAAAGGAGACUACUAAUAAUGUUGAAAAAUUAUGGAAGAAAAUGCAAAAACCAUUCUCACUCUUUCAAUUUGCAUAACUUGCAUUUUGCACUCACAUUACAGAUUCGUUUAUUGAAGUGACUAAAUCAAACUUGAUGAACAUUCAAUAACGGUACAACAUAAUUCAUUAAUUUCAGUAAAAUAUUUUCAUAACCACCAAAAAAGAGGGUAAAAAACAACCAAAAUGAUCCAACAAAGGGGUCAAUAGCUACUAGAGUACUAGUAAUAUUGUGGUAGGACAGGCGAAGAGAAACAUGUUAUUGCACUAGAUACAACAGAGGGGAUGAGAAAUCAAAAGUACUUAAAUUGGAGCUAAAUAAAAAACACUAGUAUACCAUUUUCAAGGGUUGAAUAUGCAAAUUAAAAUAAGGGUAACCAUUUUAUACAUUGUCAAUGUAUAAUUGUUUUUACACUAGUAAGGUUAUAACUAGGGCUGCAAACGAGUCGAGCCGAGUCGAGCUUUGAGCUAAUCGAGUCGAGCUUUAGCUAAAUUUUAUCAAGCUCGAGCUCGAGCUCGAGCUCGACGAGCUGGCAAUUUUCGAGCUCGAGCUCGAAAAAAAUAAAAAAAUUUUUUUUAUUUUUUAAAAAAAUAAAUAAAAUAAUAUUUUUUUCUGAAUAAAUAAUAAAAUAUUAAGGAUAUAUCCGUAAUUUCACUAUGAAAAUAAAAAAUAAAAAAAUAUAUAUAUAAUAUACGUAAUUUUAUUAUUAAAUAAAAAUAAAAAUAAAAUAUAUAUAUAUAUAUUCAAGCUCGCGAACCGGCUCGCGAGCUAACGAGCUUAAUAUUCUGAGCUCGAGUUCGAGCUCGAGUUUGACUCGAGCUCGACUCGAGCUCGAUUAAUGUCGAGCUCGACUCGAGCUUGACUCGAGCCGCUCGCGAGCGGCUCGCGAGCGGCUCGAUUCGUUUGCAGCCCUAGUUAUAACAUACCACAUAACUUGAGUUCAAAUUUGAAAUUCAAAUCAUGCGCAUGUGCUAACGAGCGCGGGAUAUACAUAUAACAAUUAACUCAUCCACCAUCAAGUUUUACAUUUAUAAUAUUUUAAAUACCCCACAAGUGAUUUUUCACAAGUAUACGAGUCGUUUAUUGAGUAUAAGGGUAUUAGGUGUCGAUCCUAUAGGGAAGAAUUUCAAUUACCGGUGAUUUUUGAAUUCCUUUAUUAUUUAGACUAUCACAAGCACAAGAAAUUAAAUUUACACUAUAAAAUUAACAAAAAUACAAUAGAAAGCUCCUAGAGGUAUGAAAUUUCUUACUACUCUUGCAAAUGACAUUACUGGUUAAGUGAAUGCUCCUAGAGUAAUUUUCUAAUAUAUGUGAAAGCUCCUAGAGUAAUUUUCUAAUAUAUGUGAAACCGACUCUUGUAGUGAAUUAACUUACUUGUAAUUAAAUCAUACAUACUCUCUUGGUUAUGAAAUUAACUACAAAUUCAUUUCUUUCAUGAAAUUACAUGAAACAAGUCACCAAAACCACAUUGGUGCUCCUCUACUCUCGUGAGUAAACUCCCUAGAUUUAUCACUUUCUUGAACUAAUGGUAAAUUCUAAUUCUCAUUGCAAACUUAACACCUUAAGAUUGUCACAAUUAAUGACUGGUUAAUCAUGAGUAGCUAAACAAAAGUGAUAAAUAACUUGUUCAAAAUAAUAGCACCAAAUAACCAAAUAAACAUCACUAACAAGAUAUAGCAAGUUCAUCCACACUCUAGACAGAAACUUUAGAAACACAAAUCCAAAACUUACAUAUUAACCAUAUUUAAGAAUCCAAUACAAAAGAUAAAGAGUUGGAAAAGAGAUAACUCUUGUCACAUGAGUUUCAACCCCUCCUUUUUCAUCCUAAUCUAGUCAAUACACAAGAGUGGGUAAUACACAUAACUAUCUAAACUAUUCUAUACUAUACUAACCUAACUAAUGAACUAAGGAAAUUCUAAUGAAGACUACAUUUUUGGUAAGUUUCUCUAGCCUUUCAAAGUUUUAAAAUGGUCUCCAAAGGCUGCUAUUUAUAGAGAAUUCAACUCAAGGUGAGUUGUUUCUUGGUUGGCAAAGUUGGCUUUUGAACUCACCAAGAGUUGUUCUCUAAAUUUUCACACUCUUCUUGGUCAGAUACAGCCGAAUUCUGAGUUGUAGAUGAGUCAGAAAAGUUGUGUAAAUGCAAAACAAGUUGUAGAGCAAGUUGCAGCAGAAAAACUAGAAUAUGCAACCUCAAAUACGCUACCUUACGUUGCGUAUUGCAUCUCACAUAUUGCCUUUUGUAGGUUUGCGCUUUUUGGGCAGAAUUCAUCUUUGCUCUGUUUUUUGUCCAAUUUCAACUGAUAUUUUCUCAAUGAUGAAAGUCGAACUAACUCUUGUACGAACAUAAAAGUUGUAGGACUUGAGUUAGCUUUCCAAUGCCUUAAGAAUUAUCCAAUUUGGAGCUCUGUGGACCGAUAAAUGACCAAAAUAGCCUCGAAUGGUUAGAACUCUGUUUCAGCUUUCGACCAUGAAAAUGUACUUUGGUAUUUUGAUAUUUUGACUAAGACAAUGACCAAACUGGACUUUGAUAUCUUCAUAGAAAAUGGAGUUCUAUCUCUUAAUUUCAAAAUGGUGUAUGAAUUACCUCAAUCUGAUACUUGUAACUCAAGAUAUAGCCAAAACACCACAGGGUAUCAAAGCUGUGAAACUUCCUUCUUGUAUACUAAGUUGCAUUUCAUCUCUUGCACUUCAUAUUCUCUUUUUAUCAUUUCAAACCAUCAUCAAUCAUCCAAUUAUCUUUUCAACUCACUCCAUUUGAUGAUUGAAUUUUUAAACCUACAAAAAUAAGAAGUUUUCACUAUUAAAAUCCAUAAAAAUAUAAUUUUUAACACUUAAAUCACAAAAUGCAUAUUUUCACUGACAACUUAGUUCAGUAGCUAUAAAAGUAAUUAAAACAUACCAAAACUAAUUAAUAAAACACACUAAAAACAUAUAAAAUACACACUUAUAAAACUCUCCCAUAUUUAAACCAUUACUUAUUCUCAAGCAAUAAAAAUUACAAACCGACAAUGAUCCAACAUUUUGAAAAUAAACAUAUGUGCACAAUUCAACUUCAUUUCCUAAAAAUAAGGUAAAUAACCAUUAUACAAUCACUCCAUUAAGCUCAAGUACUCAUAAUAUCAAGUAAAGAAGAGCCAAUUAUACCAUAAUUGUAACUAGUUCACGUCAAUUUCUCAUCCUUAUCCAAUUCCACAAGCAAGUAACUCAUAUGGUCAAUAAAAUAUUUCUAAACCCAUGAUCAUCUUUUUAUUCAAACUUAAAGAGAGAUUUAUUCAUAUAACAUAGCUAAAUAUUACUCAAGUUAUGAAAGUGCCUUUUUACGAGAAAAUCGAUAUUUUUAGAUGAAAAUUGCCGGUUACUCAACACUUUACAUACUGAAGUUGUGUUGCAUACUGUUAAUUUAAGUACCAUUUUACGCAAAAGUCGACAUUUGUAGAAGAAAACUCUCAGUUAUUAAGUACAAGAACCAUUGGAGUAGAACAACUUUUAUUCUCGUUUUUCUUUUUUUUUCUUCUCCUUUUUUUCAAAGUAAAGAUAAUAAUCAUUCCCUCAAAAGAAUAAUCAUGAGAAGAGUGUUACACUUAUUGACUAAAUUAAUCACUUAACUAUGUAAAAUCAAGUAAAGAGAAGAAAUUUCAUCAAUUUGCAAAAUUUAGGCAUAAUUAUCUCUACUUUGCAAGAUAUACUUUCCUAUAAAUACAUAAAUUAUAAUCAAAUAAUAAUUAUUUUCAAGUUAAAUAAGAAAAGAAGUUUUCAAGUCACAUAUAUUUAUCUCAAAAGUAGAAAGAAUUUGAAUUACUGAUGGUAUGAAACUUGUUACCCCUUGGAUAAAAUUGAAAAAAAUUUGAAAUCUUUUGAUGCAAAUUUGUAAUUUUGGAAAAAAUUUGGCAGAGUUUUCCCUUAAAACUGGACGAAACUCCCUACCAACAAAUCCAAUUUUGAACAAAUUAAAAAACAAGAAAUAUUUCCAAGGCAAAUCUAAAUCAUUUCCAUCACAAGUCAAUCACAACCAACAUAUAUAAUAUCAAUUCUCCCUCCUCCCCCGCAACACUUAAAAUACACAUUGUCCGCAAUGUGUAAAAAGGGAAACUAAGAUAAAAAAAAAAAAAAAGAAUACUCCCAUAUAGUUGUGAUUGAAAUGUGUAACAUUGAAUCUUCACAAUCCAUUGUCCGUGUUUCUUCAAAGUUUCAUGAGUUCCAUUGGAAUCCAUUAGUAAUACAACCUAAAAUGCAAAAUAGCAAAUAAACUAGGUAAGGGUCAAUGAUGCAAAAAGGUGACAAAGGCAUGAAGAAAAUUUUGCAAAUAACUCUUUGCCAAAGUCUCUCACAUCAUCACACCACAUUUCCCAAACUCUUUAAACAUUUAGCACAAUUAUCAAGAAUAUUUAGCACAUUUUUUCUAUAGGUAAUUAUAACAUCACCAUAUAAUAACGAAAUUAGGAGCAAAACUCAAUCUAAGAACAUACAUUAUGCACAUGUUCAAUUUUACCCUUAAAUUAUCACCAAAAUUGCUAAAUUCUUCACAUAUUUAAAAUUCAUUAUCCAAUCAUACUCUAUAUGAAGAUUAAGCAAUUAAAUAGUCUAAAAUUCACCGUAUAAUGAAUGUGUACAUGUAAGCAUCAUAAACACGUCACAUUUUAGCAAUUUCAACCAUCCAAUUAUGUUUAACAACAUUUCAAGACCAAGUACCUCAUUGAUCAUAAAAUAGGAAAGUACAUAAAGUGAAAUAUUGCAUAAAUCACCACAUUCCCACAUUUGAUCAUCUAAACAUGCUUAGAGAUGUUACAUAAGCAUAAGGGAGCUUAUAUGCAUCAACAAAUAACAUCACCAAUUCACCAUUCAAAGUGUAUCAAUAAAACUCUACAAGAUAUGUAAAUAGUAAAUAUUAACAUACGAAAUUAAGUUCAAGAAAUUUACCUCAAGUUGGUAGAGUGAUGUUUGGUGAUGUAAAUAAUGCAAAAAUCCUAUGAAAUUCACCCCAAUUAACCUCCAAUUGCUUGAAAUAGAAACUAUGAAUCCUAACCUUCAAUCGAUUUUUGAGAUGUUUUUCUUGAAUUCUAAUCGGUUAAAAUGACUCUAUGAAGGUCAAAUGAUGUUUGUUGGAUGAUUUCUUGCAAGAAAAUGGUGUAUAAGAGGAAAUUGGUGAAGUGUGUGUGAGAAAAUAUGAGGAGAAGAAAAAGAAGAGCAUGAACAAGGAACCUGCGUUUUUCUUUAAAAAAGCUAAAAAUGCGAGUUCAUAAAAUGCAGCCUUGAAGUCGCGUUUUUACGAUUCGUGUUUUCUGAUGUAAUUUUGCUAGACCAAAUACGUGACUUCUGAAAACGCGACUUUAAGUCGCAUUUUGAAGCUUGCAUUUUCUUCUUUAUUUUUGCAGAAUGGAAUACACGACUUGAGAUCACAUAUUUAUGAGCUUACGUUUUCUUCACUCUAUAGUGUUGCUGCAAAAAUUUCUGAACUUUUCAAAAAUUAUGCUUUUAUCCCAAUUACUCAAAAUGCAUCCUAGAUCAUUUUUUUGCCAAAAUAAUCAAUACACGCACAUGUAAAAUGAUCAAAAACAUGUAUUCUACCCCUUCAUAACGAAUCAAAAACAGCAUUUGCUCAAAUUGAGGGGUGGAGUUUCUUGAUCAAACUUCGCCUUUUUCACCUCAAAGGGUCACAUUUGCUUCUAUUUCCCAAACUUACAAAUAAAAACAACAAAACAAUUUAAACACAUGAUUUAAACAUAAAAUCACACCAAAUUAACCUAAAUUACCAAAAUAUUGGGUUGCCUCCCAAUUAGCGCUUUUGGUUAUAGUCGUUGGUUCGACUAUUGAAGCUCAUUUUUCAAGAAGGUUUGGUUAAUGAAUAAUCCAUCAUUUUAGGUCGUGGUGGAUCAUUAAAAUGUGACUUUAUGACAAAAGCAACAUAAUCAAAUGAUAAGAGAGAUGAAAGUGAUUUACCUAUCUCAAGUGAUUCAUAGAUAUUACCUUGAAUGUGUAUCACUUAAGAACGCACCAAAGGAACGUCCGCGUGGCUUUCUUGGGGAAUAAUACCUUUAAAAUCUAUACUCUCAAUACAUUCCUCAAGAGGGGUGAAAAAUGAGUCGUUAAGUCUCACCUCUUGAGGUUUAAGAUUUGCUCCAAAGGUACUAUCAUGUGAAAUGGAUAUUUUCUUAUUGAAACACAAUUGAGAUUCAUCAUUUUCAUCAAAAUAUAAUCCAUUUUCACAUACAACAUUCCUACCAUUCAUGCUAGGGUCAUUUUGCAUAUCAUCAGAAGAAAUAACUUCACAUAACGCAUGCAAUUGUUCAUGUAAUCUACCAAAAUGAGAAACUAAUUUAUCUAACCUUUCUUUAAUUCUAGCAAAACAAUCAAAGGUUGCAUUAGCUAACUUUUCUAUAGCUAAAUCAAAGUGAUUAGAGAAUUUUUCUAUGGUUAGCUCCUAAGAUGGUUUAGAAUCAUUAGCUAAUGGUUCAUUUUCUAAUUCCCAAGAUAAAGAUGCAUUAGAUAACAUUUCUACUGCCAAUUCCCAAGAUGGUUUAGAUUCAUAUUGGACACAUUCAGGUUGGUAAUCAUAAGAACAUGGAGAAGCAAUAUUAACACUAUGAUUAUCCUAACCAUAUGCAUAAGAAUUGCCCCAACUAGAGUUGUUUUGAUCAAAACAAAAAUUAUAAUGCCCAAAUUCAUCAUAAUAAUCCACAUUUUAUACUUGCAUACAUUCAUAAGUAGUAUGAUACCCUCUACACAAGUCAUAAAUCACAUGAUAAGAAUUGAAAGCAUUGUCAUUUCUCUUUUGUUCAAGCAUGUUUGUUAUAGUGUCCAAUUGAAUUUUUAAUGUAAUAACAUCAAGUUUAGCCUUUAUACUUUUUAAACCGUUUUCAAAUGAUAUACCUUCGGUAAUUUCUCGAUUACCUCUAUUCAAGAACUUUGCCCGUGGUAACAAUUUAUUGUCGAUCUUCCACUUCUCAAGCAUUGUUCGCCCAUAAUUCCUACUCUUCUAGAGUUCCUAAACAUGUUUUCAAAGUAACUCAAAAACAUAUUUAGUCAAGAAGAAUAGAUGACUCAACAUAUAUAAAAUAUUCAAAUAAAGACUCAACUAGACACUAAACAUAACAAACAAGACACUAGACACAACAAAAACAUGAAAAACAAGUAAAAAUAUUGAGCAAAUCCACCCCAACAACGACGCCAAAAACUUGAUGAACGCGAGGUAUACAUAUAACAAUUAGCUUCCCACAGUCAAGUUUUACAUUUAUAAAAUCUUAAAUAUGCACACGUGAUUUUUCGCAAAUAUACGGGUUGUUUAUUGAGCAUAGGGGUAUUAGGUGUCGAUCCCACAGGGAAAAGUUUCAAUUAUCAGUGAUUUUCGAACUCCUUUAUUAUUUAAACUAUCACAAGUACAAGAAAUUAAAUCUACACUAUAAAAGUAACAAAAUACAAUAGAAAUCUCCUAGAGGUAUGGAAUUCCGUACUACUCUUGCAAAUGACAUUACCGAUUAAGUGAAUGCAUUAUCUUGGCUAAUUAUGGCAUAAUUUCCUAAUGUAUGCGAAACCUACUCUCGUAGUGAAUCAACUAUACUUGUAAUUAAGCCAUACCUACUCUCAUGGUUAUGAAAUUAACUACAAACUCAUUUUUUCUAUGAAAUUACAAGAAACAAGUCACCAAAGUCACAUAGGUGUUCCUCUACUCUCAUGAGUGAACUCUCUAGAUUUAUCACUUCCUUGAACUAGUGUUAAAUUUCAAUUCUCAUUGUAAAAUUAACAUCUUAAGAUUAUGCCAAUUAAUGGCCAGUUAAUCAUGAUUAGUUAAACAAAAGUGAUAAAUAACUUGUUUAAAAUAAUAUCACCAAAUAGUCAAGUAAAUAUUACUAAUAAGAUAUAACAAGUUCAUCCAUACUCUAGGCAUAAACUUUAGAAACACAUAAUGAAACACAAAUCCAAAACAUGUAUAUUAACCAUACUUAAGAAUCCAAUACAAAAGAUAAAGAGUUGGAGAAAAGAUAACACUUGUCACAUGAGUUUCAACCCCUCUUUCUUCAUCUCCAUCUUCAUUCUAAUCUAGCCAAUACACAAGGUGGAUAACACACAUAACUAGCUAAAGUAUUCUAUACUGUACUAACCUAACUAAUGAAUUAUGGAAAUUCUAAUGAAAACUACAUUUUUGAUGAGUUUCUCUAGCCUUCUAAAGUUUUUAAAAUGGUCUCCAAAGGCUGCUAUUUAUAGAGAAUUCAAGUUCAAAGUAAGUUGUUUCUUGAUUGGCAAAGUUGGCUUUUGAAUUCACCAAGAGUUAUUCUCCAAGUUUCCACACUCUUCUUGGUUAGAUAUAGUCGAAAGUCUGAGUUGUAGAUGAAUCGAAAAGGUUGUGUGAAUGCAAAGCAAGUUGCAACAGAAACCUAGAAUACGCGACCUAUUGUAUCCCACGUAUUACCUUUUGCAAGUUUGCACUUUUUGAGCAGAAUUCAUCAUUUCUCUGUUUUUUUUAUCAAACUUCAACUAAUGUUUUUGAGGAGGUUGUGAACCCCAGUUGAUAUUUUGGGUGGUUGUGAAUUCUAAAUAAAUUUUGGGGAGGUUGAACCCCAGUUUAUGUCUUUCUUAACAUAUGUACCCUUAGGAGGUUAGCUUUUGUUCGUAUUGAAUGUUUUGAAAAUCCAAAUUAUGUUUUGAUCUUAAGGCAAUUGGUGUGUUGAGAUUGAGCAAGUUGUGCACGCAAAUAUGCAAGAGAUGAUAAGAAUGGUAUAUUGUCAAAAAUCGUAGCAGUUUGUUUUCCUUUGUUUACUUGGUUAAACUUGAACAUUGUCGAACUUUAUUAUUCAUUUUUAAGUUUGCUAAUUUUUUGGAAACUCGUUUUAGUAGUUGUACAUGUCUUGUUUAAUAGAAAAAAGACAUGUUUUGUGUUCAAAAUACUAUGGGCACACACGAUUUUUAUUAGGCUUAUGAGCUUACAGUUUUGUUUUUGUUUUUGUUUUUGUUGUUUGAAAAAAAAAAUUUAGAUGUAUAGGAUAACUGAGUUCGAUUGAGACAAUCUGGUCUGUUAGGUCUCGAAAGUGUUAUUAAAAAUUAAUUGGACAAGAAAUAUCAACAUAUUGUACUUUUUUUUUUUUAAAGUCAAAAGUAUCGCCUUAGUUAUUGUUACCAAUUAAGUACGGCAAACACUUUUUCUCAUAUUUUGAGACUAAGUUGUCUAAAGUGUUUUUAAACACUUUUUUCCAAAUGAGCCUAAGAAUUUCUUAGGCUCAUUUGGAGCUGCCAUACUUUUGCUCAGAAAAUGUGUUUUUGGAGGAUAAAAGCACUUUUAAAUUAUUUGGUGAGCAUAAAUUCUUGAAUUAAAGAGGUAGAGCUUUUGACUAUUAAAACACUUUUUGCAUAAACUCAAAAUUGCUUCUUUUAGAGCAAUCUUUAUGUUUCAAAUGAAAAUUAAAGUUAUUUUAACGAUUCAAAGCUAGCCCUAUUUUUGUAUAGAAUUAUUAUUUAGCUAUUUCACUUUUCUAAAAUUAAAAUUGACCUCUAGUUUAUCUAUGAAUUCCAAAAUUGCCAAAUAAUUUUCUUUUUUCUUUUUUUUUGAAGAAACCAUUUUUUAAACUAAAAUAAUUGCACAAGUUCAAAUUUUAUAACUUCUAGUACUUUUUUUUUUUCAAUGUAUAGCUAUAUUCGUCUUAUCGUAUUAGAAUUUAAAAAUCAAGGAUUAAAAAACUUGAUUAGUUAUGGUGAAUAAAGGUGUGCUUUUGCGGGAUUGCUUUGGGGACCUUGGGCUGCACAAAGAUAGAAGAACAAAUUUGAAAAAUUAGUAACGCCAUAUUAACCACUAUGUAGUCCAAACAUUUUGUUAAAAUUUUGGAGCAGCAAAUGUUUUAAAAUACAUAGGUAUUUUUUAAAAUUUUAAGGAGAGAAAAACAUAAUUAUCUAAACUUGGGGGAGGGAGGGCAAAUGCACCUCCCCAUCCACCACCACCAACCCCCCCACCCCAAAAAAAAUCCAUCCAUAAAUGGUCCAAUAGAUCAGUCCAACAUUAAGCAAUGAUUCAUCCCCCAAACAGAAAGAUAGAAAAACAUAGCAUAAACUCUUGCAAAUGUGUGCAUUUGUGGGAGGUUUAAUCUUCAUAAGCUGAAGACAACACUUUCCAGUCUAACAACAUAACAAGUUUCAAAUUUUAUGAACAACCUAGGAAAACUAAUAUCCAUAAAGACUCCAGCCUUCACAGCAAGUGAAGACGAGUAAAGUCCAAAUAAGUAUAAUGUUUCACUGGCAGUGACAGUUCCGUGUCAUCAUAUGGAACACUUGACUGGUUCACAGCUAUGAGCAGGUUGAUUUAAACAUCAAGGAUGUCCACAGGAAUAACUAAUAAUGUCACAGUUGAUCUAUGAUAUUGGAGUAACCAUUUUAAGGGCCGUUAAAGCUGAGAACACCAUUUAAUAGAGAAUACCAUUUAAUGGAUUCUAGCCAAUGUCAGUUACAAUUAAGCUACAAAUACAAGAGUGAAACAGUAGCAAUCAUACUUUGUUUUGUGAAAGAGAAUACCAUUUAAUAGCCUGAUGCAACUUAUAAGCAAGCCAAAGAAUGCUAAAAAAAAUUCACCAUAACUAAUGCUUCAAUUGAAUGGGAAAAGAGCAUAAGUGGAACAUAAACAACUAAAUGAGGGAAUCAAAUCUACUCACCAAGCAUUAUCAAACAGGAAAUAGUUGAUGAGGGCUUACCACAGCUCCAAUACAUAGAUGGCUUGGUACUUUCUUGACUUCCCAAGUUUCCCCGCGACCAGACUAAUUUCAAAACUACCCGGCACAACCUGAUGCAAAAUGAUCAUAAGGAUUCAUAUGUAACCCAUUAAGAGAUGUUAAAAGGGUAUAUUUGCGUGAUGUACAUAAUACAUUUGGCCAAUUUAUUUUCUUGCAUAUUUAACAAAGCCCAAUUGUAAACUGUGUUACUUCCAAUACACGAACCAUUUCUUAACUUCGUUAAAAGCUCCCCCAAGAUAACAUGUAUAAUGUGGUUUGAUACCAUGUUGAACCCAAAUGUCAUUUAAUCAUGUUGAAAAAAUGAAUCAGUAAGCAAACCAUAUCCCAGAAAGCUACCAAGAAAAAUGUGCUAGUACUUCUAGUAAUAGGGAAAAUGAAAUUGUGUUGAAAAAAAAUACAAGUUGAUACAUUUGCAAGAAAGAAACCAGCAUAAUAAGGCAUCAUCAGUUUUUCUAGGUUAAAUAUUAUAAUGUAAAACAAGAAUGAUUAGAGUUGCGAAAUGACAAGGCAACUGGCUUGACAGCAAAUUUCAUAAAGAAAAACAUACCAAGAUAGGCACCAAAUGAGUAUGUAGAUUUAAGUGAUACAUGAAAAGUCCAAUCAAGGGAAGCAAGAUCCAAAAUGUAGAAGUCAAACUGUAUAAUGAAGUCACAAGUAAUGAGGGUAAAGGCAAGAAAACAAAUACUAGCUCAAAAUCACUUACAUCGAUAUCUUCUUCUUUGACCGAGUACUUUUUGAAAGUGUCCAAAGCUCCUCCAACAGUGGCUUUGUGACAAUUUCAUUGAAGCGAGCCACCACCUUUACACACAAAAGAAGACAAUCUCCAAAAUAAAAAAAUAAUCAAAAAAAUGCUUCACAACUCAAAAGAAAACCACAUGGAAGUCAAAACAGUGCCUUAGGUCAUUUCUCUUUGACAAACUCAAGUUGGAUACCAUACAACAAGAAUCAUCUAUAUUUUACAAGCCUGCAUUCUACUAAAUCUAUUGCAUCUUAUAUAGAACACCUAGUUAUCAUUAGAUGGCUCAAAACUGGGAUUGACCCUAAAAAUAUGGAAGUUUAACACUAGGAAUGAUAUUCUUAUUGAUUUUUGGGAAGUUGGACAUUACAUUCUACUGAAUUCUAAAAUGAACUCUAUCCAUACUCGGAAGCAGUCGGCCUAUGUUGUGGAUUGACUUAAUUUUGAUUCCAUAGGCAAGAUUUCCAUAUGAAUUGUAAAAGGAAUUUUGAGUGAGAGUGAUAUAUAGAUUUGCUACUUAAAAGAUGAAAACCUAGAUUGUGGAGUGAUUAUGGUGCCAUUCAAUAUUCUCAGGAUUUGGCUAAUUGUCACAAUGUGUUGACAUGUGAAAACAUGUCAUGUGUGAAUAUUCAUUUGAUUUCAGACUUUAGUUUUAGGGUGUAGGUUUUUUUUGACUGAUGGUAGAUGUCUUUUAGUAUGGAUCUGCUUUUUCUCGGUAUGGUUUUGCUAGUAAUAUAAGGUUUUGGGAAGCAAAUGAAAAUUUUAUAUUUGCGCUCUGUUUUCAAGUACUUUGAUAAGCUCUUUGGGCUAGGAAGCCUUUAAGGUCAUCAACUUAAUGGAUAACAGAGAAUCACCUACUUUUAAGAGCAUAAUCGAAAAUCUUAGAAAGUUUUGGGGGUUUAGUCAUUAAUGACAUGGUUAACUGCCUGUUUGCUAAGUUCUCAAGUAUUCGUGGUUUCAAAGAGGUUUUGUCCAACUUCCUAGAUUGGAACUGGCAACUUUCGGAUACUCUUCAAUCCUGAAUAUGUCACUUUCAUUAAAAAGUAAGACUAGCUUACUAAGACAGGGAGUUUGAGAAAGAGGAAGGUUGAUACAGCUGAAAGGAUAGUAGGUCAGGGAUUGUAGAGCUAUACAGUUUUUGCUUGUUAUAAAAUUCUACUGGUUUUGGAAUCUAAAACUUCAAUUUAUCCAGCUGCUGAGUUCUCAUUAAAUUUUCGCGUUGGAUUUUGACAACUUGAGAAUAAGUCUACCAUACUGAAUAUGCUUAGGGAAAAUAUUCGAGGGAAAAUGUACAUAGCUUUUUGAUGGGAAAUUAUUCUCUACCGCUACACUUCCUAUUAAUGGAGGGUUCUUGUAAUCUAAACUUGCUUCAGAUUGCUACUUUUUUCAAGAAAAUGACAAUUUUCCUGGACAACAACAUGGACAUGAUUUCUCCGCCCAAAUUAAGUGUCUUGCCGUUUAGAUUUCAACCAUAUGUGCUUCAGUUGGUAUAAAAGAGGUUGCAGUAUUGUAGAUAACCGUUUUUCAUAUCCAGACUUAAGUCAUGAGGUUUUUCAUGCGCUAGGGGCCUUGACCAUUCUUUGAUGCUAAUAUCAGCCUGAGUCCUGUCACGCCCUAGGCCCUUAGGCCCAAGAUGCGACCUGAAUUUCAGCAAACAAGUUCAACUAUUUGGUUUUCGUUCUCACCGGUCCAAAAUAGAUAUUUUAAAUUAGAUUCGAAUGCUCACACUCUAUUUGUGUAUUGCAUUAGUUUAUCGCACUAACUUAUUCGACGUGAGAUGGGAUAUUACAUUUAUCCCUCUUUUUUAGGCUUUGCGUCCUCUAACCCAAUCUCAUUUCGUAUAGAGGUUACGUGAGAUUCGCUCUAAUGCCAUAAUAUCACACCAAGACCAGAUCUCAGUAGCCAAGUCCAACUAUUUAGACUCCAUCCUUGUUAGCUCAAAGCAAAUAUUUUAAGUUGGAUUUGAAUGCUCAAAUCCUACCUCCGUGAUAAGCUUAUUCUACACACACACAUAUAUGCCAAAAAAUUAUAAAGCUUACCCUAUAAUGUAAAAGUGGAAAUGAAUAUAUAAACAGUAAUGAACAGUUGCAGUUGGAGUCUUUUGGUGUUGCCUGGGUUGGGCUUCUUUGGAGAUCGGUGAUGCCCAUGUGGAGCGGUGGGCAUGUGUAUACAUAAAAUCGCUACAUAAUCUUUUUUCUAAUUUUCUUUUUCAAUCUAAAUUACUCAUUUCUCACAGUAUGAGAUGCCUGCAUUUUUUUUAAUGUCAAAUCGUUACAUAAUCAUCUCCUUCAUACCUUUUUUUUUCUUCCGACCUAAAUCUUUUGCCUUCAUAUUUGCAACUUGUCCAGAAUAUAAAAGGCAAAAAGAUUCGCCCUUACACCUUUAGGAUGUCGAUCUCAAGUUUUGAAAUUAAUAUAAACAACAUGAGUGUUUUUCCAAACCACAAGUAAGGAAAUGCUCAAAGGUCUUGUAUGUCCAAAAAAAUUUGUUUGAUUGGGACAGCUAAAAUUGCUCGAAGGUCUUGCAUGUCCCAAAAAAAAAAAAAUCUAUAGCCAUGUUUGCACAUCUUGAUGACUUGAUUCUAUUGCCUCCGUUUGUGAUUUAGCUUUGCGUUUGGGGUUGGUUUUUCUUGGUACAAAAGUUGGUUUUAGUGCCUAGCGAGCGUCAAAUAUCUCAAUUUUUAUGACUUUUUUUUCAAGUUUUAUAAAUUUAAUCUUUUCUAUUUCAUAGAAACUAUUUUAUGCUACGUAUACAAAAGAGGAAUUUGUAUUUUGAAUAAAAAUUAUGUGUCAUGCAUCCAAACCUACUAAUGCAAAAAAAACAAAAAAAAAUCCACUAAACAUAACCCUAUUUAGGAAUACGUGUGACUCGAGGAUUAUAAUUCUAUUUAUAGAUAACUUUCCUAUUAUUUUUUAGAUUCCUAUUUCAACCCAUCAUAGAAAUAUAAAUUACCCUUAAAUAAAGAACCACAUCCUAUUAGAUACAUUAAAGUUCAAAGUAUGAUUGAUCAUUUUAAUUGAAUUUAAUCUUAUUUAACAAUCUAAGUUCAACGUUGGCUUAAAGAAGCAAUAAUUAAUGCUAUAUUAAGAAUGUUAGAUAACCUGAUUUCAAAGGUCUUGUUUCUCCGUACAGUGAGGAAAAAACACACACACAAACAUGACACAGCAGCAAAAUAACGAAUCGAGGUACCAGACGCAUGGCGUCCGGGCAGGCAAAACUAGUCUAUCUAUCAUUAUGCUGAAAGAAAGUGUGAGUUGCCUUAUGAACAGUGAAUGUGGACUGGUUAUUAGGGGUGGCAAUUCCUGACACAACCCGAAACACGACACGAACCUAACACGAAAUUAAUGGGUUUGGGUUGAGGUUUCGGGAGUUCGGGUCAGAAUCGGUCGACCCGAUGAACCCGAAAAGAAAACAGGUCAAUUUCGGGUCAACCCAUAGUGACCUGAUAUGACCCGAUGUGACCCGUUUACGAAUUAAAACUAAUUUAAUAAACAUAAAAAUUAUUUUAUCUAACUGAACUAAAUGAUUCUUUUUUUUCCAAAGGCAUUAAUUACUUAAUCCUAAAUGAAUUUAUUUAACUUGUGUGAAGUUAAAAUUAUUAUAUUUGGUUUGGGAUAAAACACUUUUAUGGUGUUUAAUUUAUUUUAGAUUUGGUUUGAAAUUAUUUAUUUAAAUUUUUAUUACUUGAUGAUGUAAUUAAUUUUGUGAAAAAUUGAUUUUAUUAGAAAUUAUAGUGAUAAAUUAAUAAAUUAAAAUUAAGUUUCGGGUCAUUUCGGGUCGACCCGCCAACCCGAAAUUUCGAGUUCGUGUCAGGUAUCCUGACCCAUUUUGGAUUUGACGGGUCGGGUUCGGUCAACAGAUUCUUUGUUUACACUUAAGCCGCAACCCGAACCCGACCGAUUGCCACCCCUACUGAUUAUGGCAUAAUUCCAGCAACUUGGUGGUCCUUUUGUUUUGUUAGCUACGCGUGAACUUCUUGGAAAUUGGUCCAGCCAUCUGUGCACCCUUGGAUUGCUUCCAAUUCAAAAUUUGACCAUCGAUCAUCAUUUAGGAACGUUAGGUGCUAGAGUUGAAACGGUGGAUGGUGGUCGUACGAAGAAGUUCUAGUGGGGGGACCUUGCUGCCUACGACUGAUUUUGAUGCAUCACGAAGAAGUUAAAGUGGGGGGACCUUGCUGCCGACUGAUUUUGAUGCAUCACGAAGAUGUUAAAGUGGGGGACCUUGUUGCCGAGUGAUUUUGAUGCAUGCAUGCAUUCCUUCAGACUGGGUUAAUGAAGGCAGCACGUACGUUCUUGGUAAUGAGUAUAGCUUUUUAUUGAUUUCUUGUUUUCCUCAGUAUACUGGUUGGACCCGUGUCCUCCUAGGAGGGGAUCGUCUUCAAAGGUAAGUUUCUUUUUUUCUUCCCUACUGAUUUCUUGCCUUCCUUAAUGUACUGGUUAGAACCGUUCGUUUGUGAUUUAGCUUUAUAUCAUAGUUGCGCCCUGGGUGUACCAUGUGUUUGUAAUAUUGUCCAUGUGAUUGUUAUUUUAUCUUGAGAUGUUCGGUUUGCUGCUGCUGCUGUGUUAAGCCGGAGUUAGUGAAUUUGGACUGCCCCGUUCAGUUCACUGAACGGUGAAGGGACAAUGCUUAGUUGGCCUUUACCCAUUAGUUGUUUUCAAUGUGAUGUCACGUACUGAUGAGAAAGAUAUGAACAAAUGUACAGGACAAGUUGGUCUACCACUAAAUAAGUGUAUUUUUUUUUUUGUCGAUACGAUAUCUUCUCACGCUAUAAGAAUGGAAGGGUUUGAAGAGAUCCAAGGGUAACUUAGAAAGAACUGAACCAUUAUCGGAUCAAAUAAAUGUAUUGUACAUCCGUUUGAAUUUUUUAAACAAAGCCACGCUAACUAAAUGAGUGUAUAGCUGCUAAUUUUACUGUUUUACAUCCAAUAACACUGCGACUGCAGAAUUUCUGUACUAUUUUUUUUUUGUCACGACUGCAGAAUUUCUGUACUACUUCGAUCAAAAUGUGCCACCCACUUACUGCAUGCUGGCUCAUUGCUCAUGAGAGCGUAUUCCGAAGUCUUGAAUGAAAAAAGGUAUACUUUCAGAAACUUCCCUGAGGUGUAUAACAUUUUCACUUGGUGCCCUUAAAUUUUGAAAAAUCUCGCUUGAUUUCCCUGCUUUAAACUUUUUGUAACAUUUGAAACCCGUUUCAAAAUAUAAUAUUAAAAAACUCAUUUUGGGAAAGAGAAUACAAUUUCGUUCCAAAUUUACCCUUUUGAUGUGAUUUUUUAAUUAUCAUAGCACAUCAAUUUUAUCUCUUAAUUUUUGUAAAUUGAUCAAUGUAGUUCUUUAAUAAAAAUUUAAAAGUUGAUUGUAAGAUUGAAAAACUCUUUAAUGUUUUUGUCUCAUUGGUUCGAACAAGAAAUACUAAUUACUUAAAUUUAUGAAUGAUUUAUAAUACACUUAGAGAUAACUAGCAACAAUUUACAACUAUAAGAAUACCUUUUGCACCAGCUUAAAGUAAGGCACAAACAAAUUUAUAUAUAAUUUUUAUGGUGUUGUAUCUUUUACUUUCAAACCAUCGACUUGGAAAAAAAUUAGAAAAAAUAAAAAAUAUGCAAAAGAUUUACAAAACUUCUUAAAUUAACUCAAAACACUUACAGUAAAAAACAUUAUCUUUAUAACUUGCAAAAAUUUCAAAUAAACUUUAAAAUAUUAACUUUUGGUAUUCAAAAAAUACAAUAUAUUUUGUCCAAUCAAAAUAAGCAGUCAUACAUUUUGUUUUUGUUUUUAUUUGUUAAUAAUAUACUUACUCUUUUGGGAAUAAAAAGAAAGACAACAAAAAAAAUCAAUUUGGAAUGAGGGUAUAUUUUUAAUCUGCCAAAAUGAAUUCCUUAAUAUUACAUUUUAAAACGAGUUGUAAACGAUAUAAAAAGCUUAAAAUAAAGGAGAUGAGUGGGAUUUUUUAAAGUUUGAAGGUGACAAACGAGAUUGUCAGCUAAACUUGCAACCUUUAUGUAAAAUCCAAAACCUUUAUGUAAACAGGACAGCUUGCCAACUUGCAAAGGUUAACUAAUUGAACGCCACCAAUUUCCCAUGUUGUUGGAAAUUACGCUAUAAUCGAUCCAUUGUGCACAAUGAUUGUUUACAACUUUACAACUUCUUGUUUAUUUGGUAAUACAUUUGAUAUCAAUAGCAAGUUAGUAAGCAACUUGAUUACCACAAUUUUUUUAUUAAAAAAAAGUACUUUUAUAUGGAGAAAGGCAUUCUGCUUCGCUUUUUUUUUUUUAGGGAAUUUUGAUUGUUACUUCUUAUGAAAAAUAUUAAUGCGCUAUAUAUUUUGGAGCAACAGCCAAUAUGAUAUAAAAUCUGAUAUUAAAUUGAUCACAAGGUGCAAAAUUCAUAGGAAUUUUAGAACAAUGCCAAAAAGGCUCCCACUACUAAAGUUUAUACUAAUAAGUUUGCCCCAAAUUACUCUCUACAUCCACAACGAAUAUAACGAUGAUCUUAAUCAUGCGUAGGCCUCAUAUACAUACGACUGGAGGUCAGGUUUUUUGCCCCUCCUACAUUAUAGUAAACUACCCCAUCUGGGAUUAACCAAAAAGAUAAAAAAAAAAAGAAAAAAAAAUCAUAUGUGGGCUGGGUCCAAACAGAGAUAGAGAAAGUCCAAUGUUGGAUUGCAAAGGUCUUAUUUCUCCGUGCAGUGAGGAAAAAACACAGGCACAAACAUAACACGAUAGUAAAAUAAGGAAUCUCAACUAUCUGAUGCAUGAAGUCUGCGCUGCAAAACCAGUCUAUCUAUCAUUAUGCUGAAAAAAGACAAGUUGGCUGUUGAAAAAAGACAAGUUGCCUCAUGAGUAAAAGGGAGUUUGGGUGGUAGUAUAAUAAUAGCUAUUCGCUUAGGUUCCCCCUUAGGUAGCUUAUCCCACGUCGGGGUUGGGGUUUGAUUGGGUUAUAAGUCCCCGGGACAUGCUCAAGAGUUGCCGACUUUUGAGUAUUAUUCUGGGAUUAGGUUUACAAUUCAACAAAAAGUCUAAUUCAGGCUGUUGAAAAAAAAAAUCAUUAUGCUGAAAGUGUGAGUUGCCUUAUGAACAGUGAAUGUGGACUGGUUAUAGCAUAAUUCCCAGCAACUUGGUGGUCUUCUGUUCUGUUAGCUACGCGUGAACUUCAAGAAGACUGGUCCAGCCAUCUGUGCACCCUUGGAUUGGUUCCAAUUCAAAAUUUGACAGCUGAUCAUCAUUUAGGAACGUUAGGUGCUAGAGUUGAAACGGUAGGUGGUGUCGUCCGAUGCAGUUAGUGGAGGGCCCUGUUGCCGACUGAUUUUGAUGCAUGCAUGCAUGCAUUCCUGCAGACUGGGUUAAUGAAUGCAGCACGUACGUUCUUGGUAACGAGUUUCGCGACAAAAUCACAUGAACAGCUAGGUAUCUUCUUUGCUGCAGCUUUUUAUUAUUGAUUUCUUGUCUUUCCCAGUGUGCUGGUUGGACCCGUGUGCUAGGUAGGUAACUUCUUCAAAGCUAAGUUUUUUUUUUUUUUUUUUUUGCCGAUUCUUUUGUCUUCCUUAGUAUACUGGUUGGAACCGUAGGUGUGCUCUGGCAAACAGUUUUGUGAUUGUUAUAUGCUCAGCUCUGGUUAGAAGCACCAUAGUUGCGCCUGGGUAUACCAUGUGUUGUAACAUUGUCCAUGUGAUUAUUACAUUAUCUUGAGAGGAGAUGCUUGGUUUGCUGCUGCUGUUGUGUUAAGCCGAGUUAGUGAAUUUGGACUGCCACACUCAGUUCACUGAAAGGUGAAGGGACAAUGUUUAGUUGGCCUUUACCCAUUAGUUGUUUUCAAUGUGAUGUCACGUACUGAUGAGAAAGAUAUGAACAAAUGUAUAGGACAAGUUGGUCUACCACUAAAUGAGAGUGUAUUUUUUUUUUUUUUUGUCGAUAUUAUAGCUUUCUAUACGGGGAGGGAGAGGAUCUGAAGAGGUCUAAAGUAAUUCGAAAGGAACUGAAUCACCACCGAAGCACACGAAUAUACUAUUACUUUUACUGUUUUACAUCGCAAUAGCACUACGACUGCAGAAUUUCUGUACUACUUCAAUCAAAAUGUGCCACCCACUUACUGCAUGCAUGCUGGCUCAUUGCUCGUGAAAACCUAUGGUGAAGUCUUGAAUAAAAAAAAGUAUUCUUAUAAUUUCAGAGACCUCAUUUCAGAGACCUCCCCUGAGGCGUCUAACAUUUUCACUUGGUGUUCUUAAAUUUUGAAAAAUCUCGCUUAAUUUCUCUGCUUUAAACUUUUUGUAACAUUUGAUAUUAAAAAACUCAUUUUGGGAAAGAGAAUCCAAUUUCGUUCCAAAUUUACCCUUUUCAUGUGAUUUCUUAAUUAUCAUAACACAUCAAAUUUAGCUCUUAAUUUUUGUAAAUUGAUCGAUAUAGUUCUUUAACAAAAGUUGACUGUAAGAUUGAAAAACUCUUUAAUGUUUUUGUGUCAUUGAUUCGAACAAGAAAUGCUAAUUACUUAAAUUUAUAAAUGAUUUACAAUAUUCUUAAAAACAACCAGUAAUAAUUUACAACUACGAGAAUACAUUAAUUUGUGCACCAGCUUAGAAAAAAUACAAACAAGUUUAUGUAUAAUUUUAUGAUGUUGUACACUUUUACUUUUCAAACCAUUGACUUGGAAAAAAAUUAAAAAAAAUCUAAAAUAUGUAAAAGAUUUUCAAAACUUCUUAAAUUAACUUAAAACACUUCACAAUAAAAAAAUAUUAUCAUUAUAACUUGCAAAAAUUUCAAAUAAACUUUAAAAUAUUAACUUUUGGUGUUCAAAAAAUACAAUAUAUUUUGUCCAAUCAAAAUAAACAUUCAUCAUUCAUUUUUUUUGUUUUUAUUUGUUAAUAAUAUGCUUACUGUUUUGGUAAUAAAAGGAAAGACAGCAAUAAAGCAAAUUUGGAAUGAGAGUAUAUUUACUCUCCCAAAAUGAAUUCUUUAAUAUUACAAUUUAAAAUGAAUUGUAAAUGAUAUAAAAAGUUUCAAGUAAAGAAGAUAAGUGAGAUUUUUUAAAGUUUGAAGGUGACAAAUGAAAUUGUCAGAAACCUCAGUGGAGGUUGAGGUGAGGUUUCUGAAAUUAUCCCUAAAAAAACUCCUAGUACAAAUGGAAAAGGACCCCUCUAUUAAUUUGUCCUUUUUUUUUUUUUGGUCAAAAUGGUACCCUAUUUGAGUACGGUCGAAAAUAGAAACAGACAACAUAUUCCAUGGUAAAAUCCCAACUUUUAUGUAAACCGGACAGCUUGCCAACUAAUUUCCCACGAAGUUCGCGUGCACCCAGUGGACUACACCUGACAAAACAAAAGACCCCCAAGUUGCUGGGAAUUACGCUAUAAUCGAUCCUUUGUGCGCAAUGAUUGUUGUGUAUAACUUCUUGUUUAUUUUGUAAUAUAUUUGAUACUAAUAGCAAGUUAGUAAGCAACUUGAUUACAACAAAUUGAAAAAAAAAAGUAUUUUUAUUUUGGUUGGUAAUUUUUGAAGUAGAAGUAAAUAUAGAUUUCAGCAGGUACUGUCUGUUUAAGUUAUUCCUUAGUGUUUUUCUAAUUUUUAUGCUUGUGUGACAAAAGUUGAAUCCUUUUUUGCUUUGGGAGAUUUCUCCUGAGUUUAAAAAAAACCACUUUGUUUUCAGGGUGUAUUGGAUGUAUCCAUCAUUAAUCUUGGUUGUUGGGAAUGGUAAAGAACAUUUAAUGUCCAUACACAAUUUCGAGGUACAAAGUAGUAUGACAUAUAUAUUUACAAACUUCCUUUGGUGAUAUGCCAGGCAACCCGCCACUGGCACUUUGGCCUGGGGUUCAUUGUCAAGCACUCAAGUCUCGAUAGCAUUGGAAAGUGAAAGAUUUAACCCUUGCCAAAAAAAAAAGAUAUGCCAGGCAACUUGACUGUGGUUCAUCUUGAUGUUACGAGAACUAAUGCAACAGUUUUUUCAAAAUAUUCUACAAUUGUAACAACAAAAGUCUUACCAAACUCCACCACAUGCCCAUGUCCAUCUCACAAAAAAUGAUAGUAUAUUAUUGUGUGCUAGUUGAAUUCCCAUGAAAAUUCGAGCAGCUUCCACCACAUGCACAUGGAUUUCCAUCUCUCGAAAAAGGUGUAUUAUUGUUUUUUUUAUAUAAUCCACAGAUAUUCGUAUCUAUUUUACUGUUUGUUCUAGUUAUGGUACGUAAUUAAAAAAUGGCAAUAAAUAAGUUCAGGAUAACUAAUUAAAUAGGAUUAAUGAUAUUUCUUACCUGAUUAAACACUCUAAGUGCCCUUACAAAAUACAGUCACAAAAUGACACCAAUUGAUGCUCCAAUAUGACGCUAUUUUGUGAUUGACAGCACUUGAAAGGGCAAUCCAAAUUGUAUAUUAUUUGUAUAGAAGAGAAGUAGAAGCAAGAAAAAUAUAAGAGAAAGAAACCUCUAGACAAUACUCCAUAAGAGAAUAAGUUCUAGUGGUUUUGGUUGACCUCACUCUAUCUUAAGCAUUCAUGAAAUGGAAGGAGAAAGAAAGCAGAAAUCAAGGCAAAAUCUAAGGAUUUUUUUGUUAAAAAUUUGUGACAAUCAAAAAAUAAUAGGUAAGCAAUCUUUUAUCAUUUCAAAUUAAUACAAAAAGUUUCUUUAGUAAAGGAGAGUUUUUGGAGUUGGAUGUACACUUUUAUACGUUUUAGAAUCUCAGAUUUCUGAACGUAUGUUCGUUGCUUCUUCUAGUUGUUGCUACUGUACUUGUUUUAUUUACCCUUAUAUCCUCUUCGGUUUCACUAACUGGUUCCACCUUUUAAUGUUUUUCAUUCUUUUACUAAUACAACCUCACAAGAAACAAAAAGGGUAUAAAUGGAAUAACAUUAUUAUCUCACUUGUCAAAAGAUUUUUUUUUUAAUGACAUUUUCUUUGACAUAGGCUGAAUCUGCUAUCAAAAUUUUAAGUUCAAGGGAAGUUAGUGCUAUUUUUAAAACCCCAGUAAAGGUGAGUGCAACUACUAGAAACCUCAAGGGAGGUUUCUGCAAUUAUCCCUUAAAUAAAAGUUGACUGGGAAGACCAAGUAAGUCGUCAAGACCAGCUGUAGCUAGAAAAGUAGUAGUGCUAUUUGCAGCCAAAUAUCCAUUCCAAAUCAUAUUAGUAGUAUUCUAUCGUUGCAACGGCUGAAUUGUUUGUUCCAAAGAUAAUAGCUGAAUUGGGUGAUGGUGUCCUGAAGCAGCUCGGGAAGAAGGUUAACCUGGUGAUGGGGGUUGAAGAAAUGGAUGUCUUUGACUGUGGUUCAUCUUGAUGUCACGAGAACUAAAGGAACAGCUCAUUCAUAUAUUCUACAAUUGUAACAGCAAAGUAUAAUAUUUGUCUCACUCUGGUCUUUUAAUUAAUGUACAAAAUCUAUCCAUUAAGUGUUGUGAAUUGUGUUGAAUCGUGGCCAUUAAGUGUUGCAAUUUAUUAUUUGGAUUAUGUGUACAUUUUUUGUCAUUGUGCACACUUAGUAAAAUAAUGAUUGGAUUUAUGCUUUUCGUCAAUUAUUCUGUGUAUUGUUUGUCACUGACAAGAGCCUAAAUAGUUCAUUAGUUAUAAAAAUAAUUAAAACACAUCAAAACUAAUUAAUAAAACACACUAAAAACAUGUAAAAUACACACUUAUCAUGUGCCAUACAUCCAAAGUUGCACAUGUCGCUUGAGGAUCGUUUUUCCUUCACAGACAAAUUGAUGAACUGCACUAGGGGAUCUGCUACUUCUCAACUUGACAUACAAAUGCGUGAACUACCACUCUGAACUCUGAACUUGCAACAGAAUGUUGGUAUUAAAUUGUACACAGCUUGACAUACAAAUGCCUGAAGUACCACUCUGAACUUCCAAUAGAAUGUUGGUAUUGUAUUGUACACGACUAUGCUUGUUUCUUGUGUAUCACAAAGAAAGUGGUGAAUCUGCACGUAAAGCAGUAUAUUACUUAUGGUACUCCAAUUUUAUCAGCACCAUUAGAAUGAUUUACUUUUAAGAAGAUCCUAUAUCAAACGACAUACAACUUAUAUGAUAAACACAAACUAAAUAAUGGUUUACUUCCUUAAUUUUAGAAAUUCUCAUGUUUGUAUCCCUCACUUAAACAUGUCAUGAUUUUGAUUAUAUUUCUGUUGGUGAAUUAUUAUUUUUAGUUCAUUUUAUCCUGUUGUGAUUUAGUGUUCUUCAGUUAAAACAAAUUAAUACAUAAAUCUCCUCGACUAUUUUGGGUGAAAGCCUAACAAUAAUUGCCACAUGCUGUUUGAAGAAACUAUAGAAAUCAGAAGAUUUUACACUUAGUCGGCGGAAUGCACUCAAACAAUAAGUCAAUAUGUUACUUUGUAUGAUUUAUGCAGGCCACAGAACACCCAAAAGAAAUACCCUUUAAAUUUUGGAUUGCAUGCAAUUGCUUGGGAAGUUUGAGAUGAUUUACAUAUCUCCUUGUUAUUUUGAAGUUAACAUGGAUUCUAGGCAUGCAAAUGAGUUGGUUCUAACAUUCAGACCUACUGAAUUUUUUUUCAUAAUCACACCAAAACAAACCCUCAUGAAUUUAAUGCUAUUAUAGUAAAAUUAGUCAUGCAUGUGUCGGAAUAAAAAUUUUUGUUUAGGAACCCAUCCAAAUGGAUCACCGAUAAUACUAAUUUCAUACUGUCUCUCUAUAGCUUUUUUAGUACAAAGGUAUGACUUGAUAAAAUUCAGUUGAUAUAUAAUUUCCAUUCCGGAAUCUAGAACGAAUGCAGUUGUUGAACUUAAUGCACAUGAGGAGCCCAGGCAUUUAUGUGUAGAGAUCAACAAUCAAAUCAUUAGUCUUGGACAAUAUACGUAACCACUGAUUUUAGUGGCUUUUUAUCCUAAAUUGACUUUGCUAUUUUCUUUGAGACUUAUAAACUGUAUAAAUUGCUUAGAUAUAGCCAUGAUACUGUAUAUAUGAGAAUUCUUUUUGGGCUUCUUUUGCAAAUGUGGCAUACCUGAGUCUAAAUCCUAGUUUAUUAUGUGUGAAUAUAUUCAACAGUCCCUCUUAGUCUCUCCACCACCUGCUAAUUUUUUAUGUUGUUAUCCUCUCCCAGCGACCUUAUUUAAUUUGCCAGACAAUUUGGUACAUCUUGAAGGAAUGGGCAGCCCACAUAAUUUUCCAAAUAAUUCUUCUGCUACUUCCAGGAUGCCUUAAAUCCAAUUUCCAGUCUUUGAAGAACUUUAGCACUCUUCAGGGAGUACUCUGUCAACUUGUACUGAUAUGUUUUGGCCAUCAAUAUUAGAAGAAUGGGACCCUCUUAACUUGAUCAGUAAAAUCAAGAAAGAGGUCUCUUUUGCUUUUCAUUUUUAAAGUGAUAUCAGCACAAAGCCUAUAGUCAGUCAAUACUGUAUCAUACAGGUAAGCACUUUGUGUAGUUUAUAUUUUUUGAAUGGGUCCUUGCAAACUAGUCUUGCACUUGCAGUCUUGUUCGGGAGCUGCAAGAUGUUGACUACGUUCAAAAAGAAAAGAAAAAGAAAAUGUUGGUUGGCCAAGUUGAGAAAAUCAGGUACUGGUAAAUAUGAGUCAAAUGUUCAUUUCUUUCAGAUCACGCUCAAGAUGAAUAAUUAUUGGGUCCUCAAAUUCAAGGAGACAAAGUCCACUUCAUUAAAUUUUUUCAAAAAUGAAACAGCUACCCGAGAUUUCUCGGAAUAUUUAAGAAAUCUUCUCCCGUUGACGGAUUUAAAGAGUUAAUAAUUAUGCUAUUCCUCCCUGCUACUGAUCAAGACUACCGUAUGAUUAGAGGAUGCAUAGUAUAAAUCAAGACUGGCGAAGAAUGGUGGCUACUGAGUUUUACCAAGUUGGUCUUCUGCAACUUAAUCAGGCAAGUCGUCUUACGAAUUUAACAGAGUUGCAUGGUUAUAAUUUCUUCCCGAUCUCUUCCGGUCGCUUUCUAUGUCUUUUAAAUUUGAGCUGAUUUUGAAUUUCAAUUACCUCUAACUUAAGUUUUAAUUUUUGGGCAUACAACACUGUGCACUUCGCAAGUUUCUGAGUAGAUGUAAAAAAUACUUGAUUCUUAUUCUAUUGUCUACUAAAAAUGGUUAGAGACGAUUUAUGACAAGCAGAAAAGGCCAUGAACUUCCCAUAACUGCAGAAUAUCCAGUUCUUGUGAGGUGGUAUCCGUUAAAAUUGAUAGCUUGAUGCUGGGAUGGGAUGCAGAGCUAGGAUUAAAAGGUUAAUUAGUUGGAAUUUUACACUUGGAGAACGUAUAUUUGUUGUACGACAGAUAGAAAUGCUUGUCUGUAUGCAGAUUGUAUGAGAUGAUUGUGGCUACAAUUGUGGUUUUUGUUGACUGAUUCUUUUGUUUUAUUCACAAUUUCACUAGGUAGUUUCUAGCGUACGACUGUAAUAUACUGUCAUGGGCUUGAAUUCUCCGGGGACAUCUUCAGAGACGAAAAAGAUGUUUGUAAGAGAAGAGAUCACUAACGAAGCACAAGACCGAAUAAGCCAAUUACCUGAUGCAAUUCUGUGUCACAUCCUCUCCCUUCUUCCGACUAAAUUAGCAGCACAAACUGGUAUUUUGUCUAAACAAUGGAAGAACGUUUGGCUUUCAAUACCUGCUCUUGAAUUUCAGAUCAAUCUACGGGCAAAUUAUGAGGGUGAAUGGAGUGCCUUUGAUUGCUUUGCAAAGCCUAAAAUUGAGAGUUUUACAAAUUUUCUGGAUCGACUUUUUGCAAUUCGUGACACUUCAGGUAUUAAAAAGUUCAGAUUGGUAUGUGAUCAUCAGGUUGACUCUAGAUGCCUCAAUAAUUGGUUGUCUGCUUUGCAUAAUGUUCAAGAACUUGAUCUCGAUUUGUGGGAGCUCGGGGAGUUCCCUUGGAGUCCCUUCACAAAUAACUCGCUGGAAAUCUUGAAACUGAGUUGCAAUGUUUUGCUCAACAUCCCAUCUUCUGUUUCUUUUCCACGUCUUAAGGUUCUUCAUCUUCAUUCAGUCACAUAUGUGGGCGGCGCAUCGGUUGAAAAGUUACUUUCUUCUUGUCCAGUCCUUGAGGAUUUGCAGAUAUCAAGGGGGCAGUGGGAUAACGUUAGGAAUUUUGUGAUUGCAGUCCCUUCAUUGAAAAGGUUGACUUUGGACUUCAGUACACCUGAGAUGGACUUAUAUGAUGGCGAUGAUUACGAAGAUGGUGUUGAGUACAAACUGAUAAUUACUGCACCAAAUUUGGAGUAUCUAAACCUGAUUGAUUAUAUGUCAGAUUCAAUUCAGGUCAGUUCCAUGACCAGAGUAACUGAAUCACGCCUUUCUGUUUACAAAAUCUUAACAUGUGUUCAGCGGACAGCCGAACAAACAAGUAAUUAUGAAAGCAAUGUGCGUGAAAUAUUUCGAAGCAUCCCAAAUGUCAAGCACCUAACAAUAGGCGAAUUUACCAUGAAUGUAAGCCAUGACUCAAAUUCCAAUCCUGCUUAUUGCUUUCUAAUUGUUAUACCAUCAAUUGCUUUCUUGGUCACAACUUAUAGCUGUCUUCAUACGUUUGCAGUCUUUGGGUGAAUCUCUUGAUAGCAGGCUGCCAGUGUUUCAGAACUUGGUCCACCUGGAGAUCAGUUUUUAUGUAGCGAACGGCGCUAUACUGCUGCCAAGUUUGCUCAAAAUCUCUCCUAAACUGGAAAGCCUUAUCUUGCCUCAGGUACAUUACAUAAGAGACUUGCACAAUUUUGAGAGAAAUAUGGUGAGCGUUGAGCACUCCUGUUUUCUUUUGACCAAAAGUUGAUUUGUUUGUAAUUUUUUUUCCCUAUGUCCUGGAUUUCAGGGGAUUACCAGUCCAAAUGUAAUCGGGUGGUUUAACCCUGAGGAGAAUCAAGUUAAGCCUCCGCAAGACGUACCUGAAUGCCUGCUAUUUAGCCUGAAAAAUGUGGAAAUUUCGUGCAUUACUGGAAGAGUUGAGGAAGAGGUGGAGUUGUUGAUAUAUCUUCUGGGAAAUGCAAUGGUUCUAGAGAAGAUGACGAUUUGGUACGAAGAAUAUUAUGUUUCCGGUGGACCGAUGGAUACUACUAAUUAUCCAACUGCCCGUCGGGUGCAGGAUCGUUUAUCUUUCACCGACAAAUUGAUGAACUGCACUAGGGGAUCUGCU
rnacentral:lncRNA from 1 species